rnacentral:rRNA from 1 species
UAAUUGAAGAGUUUGAUCAUGGCUCAGAUUGAACGCUGGCGGCAGGCCUAACACAUGCAAGUCGAGCGGUAACAGGGGAAGCUUGCUUCCCGCUGACGAGCGGCGGACGGGUGAGUAAUGUAU